rnacentral:lncRNA from 1 species
GUUUGGUCUUGUGAUUGCUGACACAAGUAGAGUGAAGGGUAAGGGAUGGGAGGGUAAGAAUUUUGACAAGCUAUGGCAAAGGAAACUAUACUUUUCAUUUUUAAAAAAGUGUAAAUAGAAAAAGUUUUUAACGGUUUUAUAUGAAUUUCACUAUAAAUAAGCAUUUUAAGACUGACAAAUGUUGAACUGUAUAUACAUUUAUCAGCAUAACUGCCCAAUUUUUGGUGCUGAAGUACUGUAAUUAGAAUUUAUCAGUAGCGUCCUAAUUUUGGCAACUACACACGGGGAGAAGCUCUGAUGCUGUAGUUAAUAAACUCACACUAGCUAGUGUGACACUGAAAGUCUCAGCAGGAGCACCCCUGAGACACUUUGCUCCUGGUGGCCUCUCCAUUUCUACUGGGUGAAAGUCACUCACCCAUAGGUGGAGCUGUUGGAUAGCAUUUUACUGUACAAAUAUAUUUCAACCACCUUGUGACUGUCCUAGCUAAGGAAAAAAUUAACUUCUCUUGGGUCAUAAACAUCUUUAAGAAUCUGAUUAAACUAUGAACUCUCUCACCAAAAAAAUACACAUGCCAGUACCCGUGUUAAGAUUUUUGCAUACAAUUUCAGGGACUUAUGGGCUCCCAAGACCAUCCAUGUACCCCAGGUUAAGCCUUCUGUUAUGGUCAAUCCUUACUUGCAGUUGUAAGUUUUAUUAAAUAAACUAUCUUUUGAAUACA